rnacentral:sRNA from 1 species
AGACGCGCGGGGAUGAGGCGGGCGGCCACCGAGCGCGCGCCUGGGCUCCGGCAGUGACCGAGGCGAAUCUCGGGGCCGCUCCGGGCCCGCAGGCACAACCCGAUCUCCCAGAGAAGGAGAAGUGCCUGGCGUGGACUAUAACUUUCUGACUGUGAAGGAGUUCUUGGACCUCGAGCAGAGCGGGACUCUUCUGGAAGUCGGCACCUAUGAAGGAAACUAUUAUGGGACACCCAAGCCUCCUAGCCAGCCAGUCAGUGGGAAAGUGAUCACGACGGAUGCCUUGCACAGCCUUCAGUCUGGCUCUAAGCAGUCGACCCCGAAGCGAACCAAGUCCUACAAUGAUAUGCAAAAUGCUGGCAUAGUCCAUGCGGAGAACGAGGAGGAGGAUGACGUUCCUGAAAUGAACAGCAGCUUUACAGCCGGUUCUGGUGAACAAGACGAGCACACUCUCCAAGAAACAGCAUUACCACCUGUGAAUAGUAGCAUCAUUGCUGCUCCCAUCACGGACCCUUCUCAGAAGUUCCCUCAAUACCUACCUCUUUCUGCAGAGGAUAAUUUAGGUCCUCUACCUGAAAACUGGGAGAUGGCCUAUACCGAAAAUGGAGAAGUCUAUUUUAUAGA